AGAGUUUGAUCAUGGCUCAGGAUGAACGCUGGCGGCGUGCUUAAUACAUGCAAGUCGAACGGAGAAUUAGCAAUAGUUCUUAGUGGCGAACGGGUGAGUAACGCGUGGGUGACCUGCCCCGAAGUGCGGGAUAACAGCUCGAAAGGGCUGCUAAUACCGCAUGCUGUCUACCAGGUUAGAGGCUGGCAGACGAAAGGCGAAAGCCGCUUUGGGAGGGGCCUGCGUCCCAUCAGCUAGUUGGUAAGGUAAAGGCUUACCAAGGCGACGACGGGUAGGGGGCCUGAGAGGGUGACCCCCCACACUGGCACUGAAACACGGGCCAGACACCUACGGGUGGCAGCAGUAGGGAAUAUUGCACAAUGGGCGCAAGCCUGAUGCAGCAACGCCGCGUGCGCGAUGAAGGCCUUCGGGUCGUAAAGCGCUUUUCUGGAGGACGAGGAAGGACGGUACUCCAGGAAGAAGGCUCGGCUAACUACGUGCCAGCAGCCGCGGUAAUAC
rnacentral:rRNA from 1 species